rnacentral:rRNA from 1 species
UACAGAGGUGGCAAGCGUUGUUCGGAAUUACUGGGCGUAAAGGGCGCGUAGGCGGUCCUUCAAGUCCCGCGUGAAAUCCCCCGGCUCAACUGGGGAACUGCGCGGGAAACUGUAGGGCUUGAGUUCGGGAGAGGGAAGCGGAAUUCCGGGUGUAGCGGUGGAAAUGCGUAGAUAUCCGGAGGAACACCGGUGGCGAAGGCGGCUUCCUGGUCCAGCACCGACGUCAGGCACGAAAGCGUGGGGAGCAAACAGG